rnacentral:rRNA from 1 species
UACGGGGGGGGCAAGCGUUGUUCGGAAUUACUGGGCGUAAAGGGUUCGUAGGUGGCCUGCUAAGUCAGACGUGAAAUCCCUCAGCUUAACUGGGGAACUGCGUCUGAGACUGGUGGGCUUGAGUGCAGGAGAGGAACGCGGAAUUCCAGGUGUAGCGGUGAAAUGUGUAGAUAUCAGGAAGAACAUCUGUGGCGAAGGCGGCUUGCUGGGCCAUCACUGACACUGAGGGACGAAAGCGUGGGGAGCAAACGGG